UUUUAUUUGCAAUUUAUUUAAAAAAAAGUUAUAGUUUAUUAAUUGAGAAGAAACAGGUCCUACUAGCCUAUUCUAGCUCCCGAUAUCUAAGUCUAUUUGUA